GUUCCCGUGGUGUAGUGGUUAUCACGUGCGCCUCACACGCACAAGGUCCCCGGUUCGAUCCCAGGCGGGAACA
rnacentral:tRNA from 1 species